GAUGAAGAACGCAGCGAAAUGCGAUACGUAAUGUGAAUUGCAGAAUUCAGUGAAUCAUCGAAUCUUUGAACGCAUAUUGCGCUCUCUGGUAUUCCGGAGAGCAUGCUUGUUUGAGUAUCAGUAAACACCUCAACUCCCUUUUCUUUUUUGAAAUUGGAGCUGGACUUGAGUGAUCCCAACGCUUUCUUCCAAGAAAGUGGCGGGUUGCUUGAAAUGCAGGUGCAGCUGAACUUUUCUCUGAGCUAUAAGCAUAUCUAUUUAGUCUGCCUAAAAAACAGAUUAUUACCUUUGCUGCAGCUAACAUAAAGGAGACUAGUUCUUGUGCUGACUGAUGCAGGAUUCACAGAGACAGCUUCGGCUGACUUUGUAAACUCGAUCUCAAAUCAAGUAAGACUACCCGCUGAACCUAAGCAUAUCAAUAAGCGGAGGA
rnacentral:misc_RNA from 1 species